rnacentral:rRNA from 1 species
GACGGAGGAUGCAAGCGUUAUCCGGAAUGAUUGGGCGUAAAGCGUCUGCAGGUGGCAGUUCAAGUCUGCUGUUAAAGACCGGGGCUUAACUUCGGAAAGGCAGUGGAAACUGAACAGCUAGAGUAUGGUAGGGGCAGAGGGAAUUCCUGGUGUAGCGGUGAAAUGCGUAGAGAUCAGGAAGAACAUCGGUGGCGAAGGCGCUCUGCUGGACCACAACUGACACUCAGGGACGAAAGCUAGGGGAGCGAAUGGG